rnacentral:misc_RNA from 1 species
GUAGGUGAACCUGCGGAAGGAUCAUUAAAAAGACCCCGGAAACGGGGAGCGAGCUGGCGCAAGCCGGCACGUGUCCACCCUUUGUGAAUCUUACUAUAUGCUUCGGCAGCGCUGUGGGAGACCACAGGUAAGGCUGCCAGAGGCCCACCAAAACCAGUGAUGAAUUAUCAUGCUGUCUGAAUACUCCUGAGAAAUCAGAAAAUGAAAUUAAAACUUUCAGCAACGGAUCUCUUGGUUCUC